AGGCCUAUCAAGUUUGAAGCAAGAAACAACCGUGGGAAAAUGAGGACCACAAACUGCACAAAUAAAGCGGUUAAAACGUUUGUGGACUGAAGAAGGCAAGUGGAGAAGAUGGCUAUGGCUGUAGCAUGAUCUUCCAAUGCACCCUACGCAUUCAUUAAUGCUACUCCAAGUCGCUGCUCUGCUAUUUCUCAAGCUACUGACUUGCCAACAACAACCACUUCUUCCACCAUUCGCCCUGCUGUUAUUCUUCCGGUUUGCAUCCCUCUUCAUUCUCACCCUUUUGUGUUGUCUAUAUAGUCAUUUGCUCCCAAGAUUCCAAAGUUGAUGACACUAUCUUAGUUUCUUGGAAAAUUGAGUUCCAUAGUUACACCAACUCCAACUUCUUAGUGAAAGCUCGGUCUUUUACUGUGUAAAUCUAAUUAAUUAUGUCGACAAUCUAUUUGUCACUAUGUUCAAUUCAUUCUAUUGCGGCCUUCUGGGAUUCUUUUUAUUCCUUUAAUGUGGGGAGGGAGUAGUUGCAGAGUAUUAUUCAGACUUUGCGCCUUAGCUAAGGAGAUACCUUUUUGGGGUAACUGAUAAUUGGGUAUAUCAUUUGUUAUCUUCUUCAGGGACAAACAUGAUAUGUAUUCUGGCAUUCCUGUUUGUUUAGAUGGAAAUAUUCUCCUACUUGACUUAGACCAAAUUGCGCGACAUUGAACAUAAGAAAACCAUUCUCUGUUCUAUCUGCACAUUCAAGGUAGCCGCAAGUCCAAACAGACUUCUCCUCAAGAAAAUACUUGAUUUUGGUUAACCGUAUUGCCACGUCCUUAUUUUUCUCUACUUCAUUUUCCUAGGAUUAAAUUCCAGCUUUCUAUGCAUUUCCUAUAGCUAAAGUAGUUGGUGUUUUC
rnacentral:lncRNA from 1 species